rnacentral:rRNA from 1 species
GAUGAACGCUAGCGGCAGGCCUAACACAUGCAAGUCGAGGGGUAACUAGAGUGAUAGCAAUAUUACUUUGGCUAGACCGGCGCACGGGUGCGUAACACGUAUGCAACCUACCUUAUACUGGGGAAUAACUUCGAGAAAUCGGCGCUAAUACCCCAUAACAUUGCGAAGAGGCAUCUCUUUGCAAUUAAAGCUCCGGCGGUAUAAGAUGGGCAUGCGUCCAAUUAGCUAGUUGGUGAGGUAACGGCUCACCAAGGCUACGAUUGGUAGGGGUUCUGAGAGUAUGCUCCCCAAAACUGGUACUGAGACAGGUACCAGACUCCUGCGGGAGGAAGCAGUGGGGAAUAUUGCGCAAUGGACGAAAGUCUGACGCAGCCAUGCCGCUGGCAGGAUGACGGCCCUAUGGGUUGUAAACUGCUUUUGUACGGGAAUAAACCCUUCUACGUGUAGGAGGCUGAAGGUACCGUAAGAAUAAGCACCGGCUAACUCCGUGCCAGCAGCCGCCGUAAAAC